AGAAGAAGAGAAAGGAUGGAGGGGAGGAGGGAAGAGGGAAGGUUAGAUUCGGAAGGCAGUGCAGGCCCGGGCACUGCUCCAUUCUUUCCACCAGAGGGCACAGGAGCCCGGAGAGCUGGGAAGAGAUGGGUAGGCUCUUCCUGAGCUUCAGCCUUUAUACCCACAGAGGUUUGGGGUGGUUUUCCUCCAUUCAUGGAGGCAGUCAAGACCGGAGGAAGGAGCCCACCCAAAGCUGGGUUACCACAGCAGCAGGCCUGGCAUUAGCCUGGCCUGCCCUGCCUGGUGGGACCAGAAGGAACCAGCUCCCUGACCUUGGAUCUGGAUGUACGCAGGCAAGACUAACCUUGGGACAGGAGGCAAGACCGAAAAGAGAGAUAAUCCCACAGAAGCAUGAACAUAGAGCCAGAAGUGACUGAGAUGGCCAGUGGAUGGAGACAUGAGGCCAAUCCCAUUUCCAUCCCCAACACCCCUAUAUUGGGAGGGACCUUGGAUUCCCACCACCUGUGAGGUGAAUGUUUGAGUGGCUAUCUCAUCUCAAAGAACAAAUGCUGCAAGCUGAGUUACAUGUAAAUGCAUGUAUUAAAACGUGUGUUAACUGUUGGCGGGAAUAUAUAUUGGUGCAGUGACCACAGAAAACAGUUUGGAGGUUCCUUAAAAAACUAAAAACUGAGUUACCAUAAGAUCUGGCAAUCCCAUUCCUGGGCAUAUAUCAGAAGAAAACUCUAAUUUGAAAGUGAUACAUGCACCCCAGCGUUCAGAGUGGCACCACUUACAAGAGCCAAGACGUGGAAGUGACUCAUUGACUCAGUCAUAAGGAAGAAUAAAACGACACCAUUUGCAGCAACAUGGGUGGACCCAAGAUCAUCAUAUUAAGCAAAGUAAGUCAGACAAAUAUCAUAUGAUAUGAUAUCACUUAUACCUUUAAACAUGAUACAAAUGAACUUAUUUACAGAACAGAAACAGAUGCAUAGACAUAGAAAACAAACACCCUAUUACCAAAGGGAAGGGGGGAUAAAUUAGAAGUUUGGGACUAACAGAUACAAACCACUAUCUAUAAAACAGAUAAACAACAAGGACCUACUGUAUAGCAUGGGAAACUAUAUUAUAAAAAAGGAUCUGAAAAAGAAUAUAUAGAUGUGUGUGUGUAUAUAUAUGUAUGUACACCAGAAAUUAACACAACAUUGUAAAUCUACUAUACUUCCAAAAAAAAAGUACUUUCAGGGAGUUCCCAUUGUGGUUCAGUGGUAACAAACCUGAUUAGUAUCCAUGAGGAUGCCGGGUCCAUCCCUGGCCUUGCUCAGUGGGUUAAGGAUCCGGUGUUGCCAUGAGCUGUAGCAUAGGUCGCAGACGUGGCUCGGAUCAGACAUUGCUGUGGCUGUGAUGUAGGCUGGCAGCUACAGCUCCGAUUAGACCCCAAGCCUGGGACCUUCCAUAAGCCACAGGUGCAGCCCUAAAAACAAAAAAGAAAAAAAAAGUGUGUUCACCCAUGAGCAUUUCUUUUCCCUUGAUGAGCGUGAAUGAGGCAGUGAUUUGGCAAGUAUCAGGUUAACUUCAUAAAUGAAGGCAGCCAAACCAGAAUACUUGGGUUCAAAAAUCUACCCCUGGCCUGACUGAUCUGGUUUGGCCUUCUAGACUUAGCAAAUUAACCAGAAAAUUGCCAAAGUCCUGCACUUACACUGGACAGACACAGUUUUAGUGUGGCCUGCAUCUCAUAGAUACACAGAUCUCUCUCUACACACUAUUAUUAGGUGUAUCUUUCCACAUGUUAUUACAUCAAAUUUAUAUUUGUAACCAACUCAAUGAUUGUCCCAGAUUAUCCAGAACCAAUCUUUCAUAGCAGGCUGGUUUUCUACAGCUGCCUCUCAUGUGACUGAACCAUGAGUAUAAAACACUGAAAAAGUGGGACAUGCUAAACAAGGAAAAAGCCAUUAUUGCUUCUGUUCUUGUUACUGUUUUCAUUCUCUGUUAAUAUGUGUUGGAAAAUGCAAGGACAUUUACUAUUAGCCUAAUUUGAACAUAUUGGCAAAGAAAGCCUGCUGUUAGACCAAAACCCCAAAUGAGAAGCUCCUAAGAGGAAAAAUUUGUAAAUAAAUAGGAAGAGGGCAGGUGUAAUGGAUUAAAUGUGAAUCACCGAGGGAUCUUGUUUAAAUGCUGAUCCUGACUCACUAGGUCUGGGUUUAAAAUUUAUUUUUUCUUUUUUUGCCAUAUGGAAGUUCCUGGACCAGGGAUCAAACCCACACCAAAGCAGUGACCCAAGCCACAGCAGUGACAAUGUGGGAUCCUUAGCCACUAGGCCAACAGGGAGCGCCAUGAAAUUUCCUAUUUCUAACAAGCUCUAAUUGGUCCAUGGCCCAUACUCUGAGAAGCAAAGGCAUUAAGCCUACUGGGUCUGGAGUAAGAAGGCCCAUCUGUCCCUAGUUUCUUACCUUUGAUGAGCCUCAGUUUCCUCUUUUGCAAAAUCAAAACAGUCUUAAAUACAUACUCCCAGUGGAUGUUGUGAGGCUCACAGGAGAUAAGGAGUUUGAACGCCCUACAUUAUAAAAUGCCUUAGAAAUGUUUGUUAUUAUUGUUCUGGGGUUGCCGGGCUUCGCCUUCAAAGGCUCCAGAGCGCUGCUGACAGGGGUGGACUGAUGGAGCGAUAGCCACCAACAUCCCUGCAUCCUCGCCUCACUUCCACUGUGCCAUCCGUGACGCCGUUUCCCCGGAAGCUGUUAUUUUCGGAGAGAGAUGCUCUGUGUGUCUCCCUCCGCCCCUUGAUUGCUGGUCUGCUGGUUCUCCUGGCCUGCGAGCCAGAGAGGCCACGUGGCUUCCAGCUGGGCUGGGCAUCCGGAACACAUUCCUCCCUCCCCACCUUGUGCCUUGAGAACUCUCCCCUCCGUACUGACUGCUCAGGGCUGGCCAGGGCAGAACUCGGCACGAGGCAGUUUUAAGUCCCUGUUUUUCCCUCAGGCAGCCAAUGCCCUCUGUCCUUCAGUGCGCGCCACUCAGCAUAUCCUCAGCCAGGGAAGCAUCCACUUCUUCAGUUCAGGCUUAGCAAUGGCUGAUACGACUUAGGGUGACCUCUCCUUAGGGGACAAAGCCAAGAGGCACUUCGAACCAUAAGGGAAGGGUUCAGGCCCCCAUGCUUGGAAAGGGCAUUUGGGGAAGGGGGUUUGGAGGGCUCCCUACUCCCUCUGAAAUCCUAGGGUUAGGUGUCCUGCAUCUGGGUGUCCAAAUCUCCAUUUUCAGCCAGAAACAUUCCAGCCUUUCGGUGUCCCUGAUCUUGCUCCUGGCCCGCAUGGGUGCUUGUGAAAUCUGACACCUACUCCUUAGAUUUCACAGACUGAUGUGAAAAUCUGGCAGGUCCAGGUUUCUCAGCCACAGCCAUCUAGAAGCUUGGGCCAAGACAUCGUGAGGAGCCAGGGGUUCCCAACCUGUUUCCCCCGCGACAGCCUUGGCUGUUGUUGGUCACGUGUGGGACAGUCUCCUCCAAGUGCCCUAGCUGAUGAAGACCAUGCCCCACCCCACCCCAGGUAUAACUCUACCCUUUUCUCUCUUCUUCAGGCCAAUCUCAUCCAACGAAGAGAGAAGAAUGUUAUGCUAAGGAUAGCUUUGAUUUACUCUGACUGUUAUUUUUUUUUUUAAAUAUAGUCUCUCUAAACUUGAGUGCUUUGUUUAACAGUGAGAACCAAUAGUGACAUCGGAUCAUUGUUGAGCACCCUGUCCAUGAACUCUGCUCCAAUACUGAGGCCAAGGACUAAAUCCUCAAGGAGAGGAUUUGAUUUUAUACAACAAACCCAUUGAAUGUCUCCUUCGUCCCAAGCGGCCAGCCUUAGAAGAUACAAAGAUAAAUACGCCAUGGGCACUGCAGAGCCAGCGGAGAAGGACAAGGGAGCACUGCCUCCCGGGAGGACAUGGUUUUCUUUCAGGCUUUUCUUGUACCUGCCUACCUCUAUUUGCCACUCACACUGUUUCUGCCACCCUUUUUUUUUUAUUCUCUACUAAAUGAAUCUUACUAUUUUAUUUUCUCUUAAGUUUGUCAAGUUCAGUAAUCUGCUCAGAAACCAGCUUUGGAGUAUGUCCAUUAUUUUUUUUAAUUUAUUUUAUUUUUUUUGUCUUUUUAUCUUUUCUAGGGCCACACCCCCCGCAUAUGGAGGUUCCCAGGCUAGAGGUCAGAUCGGAGCUGUAGCCGCCGGCCUACGCCAGAGCCACAGCAACGCCAGAUCCGAGCCACAUUUGCAACCUACACCACAGCUCACUGCAAUGCCAGAUCCUUGACCCACUGAGCGAGGCCAGGAAUCGAACCUAUAUCCUCAUGGUUCCUAGUCGGAUUGUUUCCUCUGCGUCACAUCAGGAACUCCAUGGAGUGUGUCCAUUACUGUUUGUUUCCAGAUUCUUCUUUAAUUUUUGCUUUUAUUUUUAUGUUUCUCCUUUCUUGGAAUGUUCUCUUGAUUUCUAAAAUUGAGUGUGUAACUCAUUAAUGUUCAAUCUUAUUUUAUUAUUAAUAUAUUUUAAACUACAUUUUCCAAUAGAGUGGUUUCACUUCAUCCGCAAAUUUUGACACAUAUGGUUUUCACUAUUUUAUUUUUUUCUUUUUACAGCUGCACCUGCAGCCUAUGGAAGUUCCAGGCCAGGGAUGGAAGCACAGCUGGAUCCAUAACCCACUGAGCCACCAGGGAACUCCUAUUUACCUUUUUAAAAUUGAAUUUUUUAUUUUAUUUCAUUGUGCUUACAGAACAUAUAAAUUUUUUUUGGUCUUUUUUUUGAGAAUUGGCUUAUUGUCUACCUUUCUGACUAUUUUGUCAUGUAUUCUUGGAAAAAAUGUGUAUUCUCCAUUUGGGGGUGCAAGCUUUUAGGUAUGGCCUUCCUUAAUAAGUUGUCUUGUAAUGAUUUAUGAUUUAUAUUCUUAUUCAAUUUUUUACUCCUUAGGCUUUGAGUUUCUAAAAAUGAUAAAUGGAAAUCUCCCCCAGAAACCUUCCAUUCUAAUUGUGAAUUUGUUAAUUUCCGCUUAUAAUUCUGUCAAUUUUAACAUCAUGUAUUUCAAGACUGUUGCUAAAUGUAUGCACAUUCAGUUAUUACUGUAUCUUCCUGGUAUAGUAGCUUAAGUAAUGAUUCUCUUUAUCAUCAUCAUACAAUGCUUGUAUUUUAUGUCUAUUUGAUAAUAAUUAUUAAUUAAAAUAUUAUUGCUGAUGCUAAUAUUGCUAAACCGACUUUCUUUUUCUAUCAUUUCACUGUCAACAUUUUUGUGUUACUAUGAAUUAUAAACAAAAUACAGAUUGACUUUUAAAAAUCCA
rnacentral:lncRNA from 1 species